rnacentral:rRNA from 1 species
GGGGGCCCGCAAGCGGCGGAGCAUGCGGAUUAAUUCGAUGCAACGCGAAGAACCUUACCAAGGCUUGACAUAUACCGGAAACGGCCAGAAAUGGUCGCCCCGCAAGGUCGGUAUACAGGUGGUGCAUGGUUGUCGUCACCUCGUGUCGUGAGAUGUUGGGUUAAGUCCCGCAACGAGCGCAACCCUCGUUCUAUGUUGCCAGCACGUAAUGGUGGGAACUCAUAGGAAACUGCCGGGGUCAACUCGGAGGAAGGUGGGGAUGACGUCAAAUCAUCAUGCCCCUUAUGUCUUGGGCUUCACGCAUGCUACAAUGGCCGGUACAAAGGGCUGCGAUACCGUAAGGUGGAGCGAAUCCCAAAAAGCCGGUCUCAAUUCGGAUUGAGGUCUGCAACUCGACCUCAUGAAGUCGGAGUCGCUAGUAAUCGCAGAUCAGCAACGCUGCGGUGAAUACGUUCCCGGGGCCUUGUACACACC